rnacentral:rRNA from 1 species
UACGUAGGGUGCAAGCGUUGUCCGGAAUUAUUGGGCGUAAAGAGCUCGUAGGCGGUUUGUCGCGUCGAAUGUGAAAACCCGGGGCUCAACCCCGGGCCUGCAUUCGAUACGGGCAGACUAGAGUUCGGUGGGGGAGUCUGAAAUUCCUGGUGUAGCGGUGAAAUGCGCAGAUAUCAGGAGGAACACCGGUGGCGAAGGCGGGACUCUGGGCCGAUACUGACGCUGAGGAGCGAAAGCGUGGGGAGCAAACAGG